UACGUAGGGGGCUAGCGUUGUCCGGAAUCAUUGGGCGUAAAGCGCGUGUAGGCGGCCCGGUAAGUCCGCUGUGAAAGUCCAGGGCUCAACCCUGGGGAUGCCGGUGGAUACUGUCGGGCUCGAGUCCGGAAGAGGCGAGUGGAAUUCCUGGUGUAGCGGUGAAAUGCGCAGAUAUCAGGAGGAACACCAAUGGCGAAGGCAGCUCGCUGGGACGUGACUGACGCUGAGACGCGAAAGCGUGGGGGAGCAAAC
rnacentral:rRNA from 1 species